rnacentral:rRNA from 1 species
CCUACGGGUGGCAGCAGUGGGGAAUAUUGCACAAUGGGGGAAACCCUGAUGCAGCGACGCCGCGUGAAGGAAGAAGUAUUUCGGUAUGUAAACUUCUAUCAGCAGGGAAGAAAAUGACGGUACCUGACUAAGAAGCCCCGGCUAACUACGUGCCAGCAGCCGCGGUAAUACGUAGGGGGCAAGCGUUAUCCGGAUUUACUGGGUGUAAAGGGAGCGUAGGCGGUUUAGCAAGUCAGAAGUGAAAGCCCGGGGCUCAACUCCGGGACUGCUUUGGAAACUGUAUGGCUGGAGUGCAGGAGAGGUAAGUGGAAUUCCUAGUGUAGCGGUGAAAUGCGUAGAUAUUAGGAGGAAUACCAGUGGCGAAGGCGGCUUACUGGACUGUAACUGACGUUGAGGCUCGAAAGCGUGGGGAGCAAACAGGAUUAGAUACCCGAGUAGUC